CUUUUAUGGAGAGUUUGAUCCUGGCUCAGGACGAACGCUGGCGGCGUGCCUAAUACAUGCAAGUCGAGCGAACAGAGAAGGAGCUUGCUCCUUUGACGUUAGCGGCGGACGGGUGAGUAACACGUGGGCAACCUACCUUAUAGUUUGGGAUAACUCCGGGAAACCGGG
rnacentral:rRNA from 1 species